UCCUAGUUUGUAAAUAUAAGCUUGAAAAUACUGCAGCAGAGUGAUUUUCUAAGUGUGGCGGUGAAUCACAAACAUAAAAAUCACCAUGAAUGCUUGUUAAAGAAUAAGCAUAGGUUUUAAGUAUGGACUAGACAGUCAAAAUCUAAAAAAAUAGGUCCAAAAAUUUAUAUUAUUAAGAGGCUCACUCAGAUAAUUCCUAUGCAUGCUAAGGUUGUGGAAGCACAGCUAUAGUUUGUGUGUGUGUGUAUGUGUGUGUGUGUGUGUGUGUAAUGUGUAUUUCAUUUCUUUUAUUUGUUUUCCCUACUGUUUACUGAGUGAGAAUUCUAUGUAGAACCCAAGACUUGUCAAUCAACAGCUAAGGGAAUGAAACACUUUGCACUUGAUGAGAAUCAACAUGGUUUUCCUGAAGAUAUUUCAACCCAUGUUGGACAUUCGAGAUCUGAUCCAAAAUAAAGAGGUUCAUCCCCCUUGGACUUCAGCCUUGCCCUGCAUACAUCUUUUCUAUCUCAUUGGUGUCAGAAAUUGGGGAAGAUUACUGCCUGAGACAGCACAGGGCAGCGACAGUGAGAGAUGAAGGCAACAUCAGUGUGCGCCAGAGUUUUGCAACUCCACACGCAGUCCAUCAUGGACCAACAACUGCAGCAUCACCUAGGAGCUGUUAGAAGUACAGACUCUCAGAUCCCACCCCAGAUUCCUGAGUUGGAAUCUGUAAUUUGAUAAGAUUCUCAGGUACAUUAAAGUUCGAAAAGUGGCAUGUUAGUGAACUGAGAUUUCUAUGUCAAGGGAUGUACUUGGUGUUGAAGAGCUGAGUUCAGAGUUCAGAGAGCAGGUGUUCAAAAGCAAGUUCAAGUCAUACAAAAGAGCCAAGAAUAACCCAAGAGCUUCCACAUAUCUCUGUAAACAGGGUUAGAGGUUGUCAGGGUCACAGGCAGGACAGAUACCUUGCACAUUUUUUUCUUAAGAAAUCUCGAUUAUCAAUCUCAAAUUUUCUUUAAAGUGUUUUUUACUAUAACACAAAUAUUGAAACACAAAUAUGUGUACAAAUUAAUGCAUUUUAAUACUGUUUUACUGAGGUAAAAUUUACAUGUAAUAAAAUGCAUAACUUUUGAAGAAUGUGUUGUGUAUAUCAGAUAAUUGCUACUCUGAUUGAAAUAUAAAACAUGUUCAUCACCCCAGAAAUCUCUCUCUUAUCCUCUCAAAUUAAUUUUUAGCCCC
rnacentral:lncRNA from 1 species